CCUACGGGAGGCAGCAGUGGGGAAUAUUGCACAAUGGGGGAAACCCUGAUGCAGCGACGCCGCGUGAAGGAAGAAGUAUCUCGGUAUGUAAACUUCUAUCAGCAGGGAAGAAAGUGACGGUACCUGACUAAGAAGCCCCGGCUAACUACGUGCCAGCAGCCGCGGUAAUACGUAGGUGCCAGCAGCCGCGGUAAU
rnacentral:rRNA from 1 species